rnacentral:rRNA from 1 species
CCCGCCGGCGACCGGCGCACGGGUGAGUAACACGUAUGCAACCUGGCCGUGACAGAUGGAUAACCGGGAGAAAUCCCGCCUAAUACAACAUAAUGCCGGGAGGGGACAUCCCCUGCCGGUCAAAGGGGGCGACCCCGGUCAUGGAUGGGCAUGCGGCGCAUUAGGUAGUUGGUGGGGCAACGGCCCACCAAGCCGACGAUGCGUAGGGGUUCUGAGAGGAAGGUCCCCCACAUUGGAACUGAGACACGGUCCAAACUCCUACGGAAGGCAGCAG